AGGGUUUGAUCCUGGCUCAGGACGAACGCUGGCGGUGCGCCUUAUGCAUGCAAGUCGAGCGAAGCUUUUCAGUAGUUUACUACUGAAAAUGACUGAGCGGCGAACGGGUGAGUAACGCGUGAGCAACCUACCUUAGUUACUGGGAUAGCCCGAGGAAACUCGGAUUAAUACCGGAUAUUCUUAUUUAAUCACAUGAUUUUUUAAGGAAAGGUCAGCCGAACUAAGAUGGGCUCGCGUUCUAUCAGCUAGUUGGUAGGGUAAUGGCCUACCAAGGCUACGACGGAUAGCUGGUCUGAGAGGACGAUCAGCCACACUGGGACUGAGACACGGCCCAGACUCCUACGGGAGGCUGCAGCAGGGAAUAUUGCGCAAUGAGCGAAAGCUUGACGCAGCGACACCGCGUGUGGGAUGACGGAUCUAGGUUUGUAAACCACUUUCAGGAGGGAAGAAAAUGACGGUACCUCCACAAGAAGCCCCGGCCAACUACGUGCCAGCCGCCGCGGUAAUUC
rnacentral:rRNA from 1 species